AAUAAACACCCCGCGUACAAGCAGUGACAGAACUAUAAAGCAACCGACAACAUCACCACACAACGAAGAUAAAAGUAAAGAAAAAGAAAAGAAAAGAAAGAACCAAAUGGCCAUGCCCCAUAGCCUGAUGGUUUCAUCCUCUCCGGCAGCUCUCAGACUCCAUUGGGAUGUGUUCUUAAGUUUUCGUGGAGAAGACACCCGCCACGGCUUCACCAAAAAUCUCUACGAUUCAUUAAGCAAACAAGACAUCAGAGUCUUCUUAGAUGACUCUGGAAUGACUCAGGGAGACGAGAUUGCUCCAACACUAAUGGAGGCCAUUGAAGAUUCAGCCUUAUCGAUCAUUAUUCUUUCACCAAGAUAUGCCAACUCUCAUUGGUGUCUUGAGGAGCUAGCUAGAAUAUGCGAGUUGAGGAGGCUGAUCCUGCCUGUGUUCUACCAAGUUGAUCCAUCCCAUGUUAGGAGACAGAAGGGUCCUCUCGAACAAGAUUUUAUGAAUCACAUGGGGAGGUAUGGGGAGGAGAAGGUGGGCAAAUGGAGAGAAGCCAUGAAUAAAGUUGGUGGUAUUUCUGGUUUCGUUUAUGACACCAGAUUAGAAGAUCAGUUGAUUCGGCGUUUGGGGAAUAGGGUUAUGACAGAAUUGAGAAAAACCCCGGUGGGUAUAGCUACUUAUACCGUAGGACUGGAUUCCCGUGUAGAAGACUUCAAGAAGAGGUUCAUAGAUGAUAAAUCAAAUCGCGUUCAAGUUCUGGGACUUCAUGGUAUGGGCGGGAUUGGUAAAACAACUCUUGCCACAGCUCUCUUCAAUAAACUUGUUCGUCAUUUUGAGAGUCGUAGUUUCAUCUUCAACGUUAAAGAUAUUUCUAAAGAAGAUGGUGGUCUAGUAAAACUGCAGAACAAACUUCUUGGUGAUCUUUCCCCAAAUUGGCCUCUUGUAAAUAAUAUUGAUAAAGGUAUUGACGUAAUCAAAAUGCUGGUUCAUGAGAAGCGGGUACUAAUUGUCUUAGAUGAUGUGGAUGAUGUAAGCCAACUGAAUGCACUAGCAGGGAAUAGAAGCUGGUUCGGUGAAGGAAGUCGAGUUAUUGUUACAACAAGAAACAAAGCUGUUCUAGCUGAACACCUUGUCAAUGAAUUUUACGAGGUUAGAGAGUUAGGUUACCCGGAAGCCUUACAACUUUUUAGUUAUCAUGCACUCAGAAAAGAUAAACCCACAGAAGAAUACAUGAAUAUAUCCAAGGAGAUUGUGUUACUCACAGGAGGACUGCCUCUGGCUUUGGAAGUGUUUGGUUCUACUUUGUUUAAUGAAAGAGGGUUAAAUAGAUGGGAAGAUGCCCUGAAAAAACUGCGACGAAUAAGGCCAUAUAAUCUUCAGGAUGUGUUACGAAUAAGUUAUGAUGAGUUGGAUGAAGAUGAAAAGCAUGUCUUCCUUGAUAUUGCUUGCUUGUUUAUUAAAAUGGGAAUGAAAAGAGAGGAAGCAAUUGAUAUUUUGAAGGGUUGUGGCUCCAGUGCUGAGACAGUCAUCACAGUUCUGACAUCAAAAUGCCUCAUUAAGAUUCGUGAAGAUGAUGAAUUAUGGAUGCAUGAUCAACUCAGAGACAUGGGAAGACAAAUUGUUCAACAUGAAAACCUUGCAGAUCCCGGAGGGCGUAGUAGGCUAUGGGAUCGCGGUGAAAUCGUGUCAACGCUGAUGCGCAAGAAGGGCACAGAAAGUGUAAAAGGUAUAGUUUUUGACUUCGAAAGGAAGAAAUAUACGAGAACUCGACGGAUUUCUUGGGUUAGAGCACUGAAUCCGCGUUCAGCACUUGCGUACUUGAUUGAAAAGUGUAAGAUUUUUCUUCGACAAGGACUAGAGGGAGAAGAAAAGAAGAAAUAUACGAGAAUUCAAUGGAUUUCUUGGGUUAGAGCACUGAAUCCGUGUGCAGCACUUGUGUACUUGAUUGAAAAGUGUAAGAUUUUUCUUCGACAAGGACAAGAGGAGGGGGAGAUGAUACUUGACACUGAAGGCUUUAAAUCAAUGGUUAAUCUGAGACUGCUGCAAAUCAAUCAUGCAAAACUGCAAGGGAAGUUCAAGAAUUUUCCUGCUGGCCUGAAGUGGCUUCAGUGGAAAAGUUGUCCUAUGAAAAAUCUUCCUUCUGAUUAUGCUCCUCAUGAGCUAGCUGUGCUUGAUCUUUCGGAGAGUGGAAUUGAACGAGUUUGGGGGUGGACCAGUAACAAGGUGGCCAAGAACUUGAUGGUUAUGGAUCUUCACGGUUGCUAUAAUCUUGUGGCUUGUCCUGAUUUAUCUGGAUGUAAAACCUUGGAAAAACUUAAUCUCCAAGGUUGCGUUCGGCUAACUAAGGUUCACAAAUCAGUGGGGAAUGCAAGGACAUUACUUCAGCUGAACUUGAAUGAUUGCUCAAACCUUGUUGAAUUUCCAAGUGAUGUAUCUGGGCUAAAAGUUCUUCAGAACCUCAAUCUCUCUAACUGUCCAAAGUUGAAAGACUUGCCACAGGAAAUAGGCAGCAUGUAUUCCUUAAAACAACUUCUUGUUGAUAAAACUGCUAUAUCAGUGCUGCCCGAAUCUAUUUUCCGCCUUACAAAACUGGAGAAGCUUAGUUUGAAUGGAUGCCAAUUCAUAAAAAGGCUGCCAAAACACUUGGGAAACCUGUGUUCUCUGAAGGAACUUUCUCUCAAUCAAUCUGCAGUAGAAGAACUGCCUGAUUCUGUCGGAUCUUUGUCAAACCUUGAGAAACUAAGUUUGAUGUGGUGUCAAUCACUUACUGCGAUUCCUGAAUCUGUUGGCAAUCUCCAGUUAUUGACCGAAGUUUCCAUCAAUAGCAGUGCAAUCAAGGAAUUACCUCCUGCAAUCGGUUCAUUACCUUAUUUAAAAAUCUUAUCAGCUGGAGGGUGUCGUUCCCUGAGCAAAUUACCUGAUUCCAUUGGAGGAUUAGCUUCUAUUAGCGAACUUGAGCUAGAUGAGACAUCAAUCUCACAUCUUCCAGAGCAGAUUGGCGGUUUGAAAAUGAUUGAGAAGCUUUACAUGAGGAAGUGUACAUCUCUUAGUUCUUUGCCAGAAUCAAUUGGGAGCAUGUUGAGUCUUACUACCUUAAACUUGUUUGGUUGUAAUAUUAAUGAGUUGCCUGAAUCCUUCGGGAUGCUGGAAAACCUUGUGAUGUUGAGAUUACAUCAGUGUAGAAAGCUCCAAAAGCUUCCAGUUUCUAUUGGGAAGUUGAAGUCUUUAUGCCACUUGUUAAUGGAGAAGACAGCUGUUACAGUACUACCUGAAAGUUUUGGAAAGCUCUCUAACUUAAUGAUUUUGAAAAUGCGAAAAGAGCCACUUGAAUCUCCCAGCACACAGGAGCACUUGGUUGUCCUCCCAAGUUCUUUCUUCGAACUAUCCUUGCUAGAAGAACUAAAUGCUCGUGCUUGGAGAAUAUCAGGUAAAAUUCCUGACGAUUUUGAGAAACUGUCAUCAUUAGAGAUCGUGGAUCUUGGCCAUAACAAUUUCAGCAGUCUUCCUUCUAGUUUAUGUGGCCUUUCUCUUCUAAGGGAGCUUCACUUGCCCCAUUGCGAAGAACUUGAGUCUCUCCCUCCGCUUCCCUCAAGCUUAGAAGAAGUGGAUGUUUCCAACUGCUUUGCAUUGGAAACUAUGUCGGAUGUUUCAAACUUGGGAAGCUUAACGUUGCUGAACAUGACAAAUUGCGAGAAAAUGGUGGAUAUUCCUGGCAUUGAAUGCUUGAAAUCCCUGAAAUGGUUAUAUAUGAGCAAUUGCAAGGCAUGCUCCUUGACAGUGAAGAGAAGGCUAUCGAAGGUUUGCUUGAGGAAUAUACGCAACCUAAGCAUGCCUGGGAGCAAAAUCCCAGAUUGGUUUUCUCAAGAAGAUGUAAAAUUUUCAGAGCGAAGAAACCGUGAAAUCAAAGCUGUGAUUAUAGGUGUCGUUGUCUCUCUCGACCGUCAGAUACCAGAGCAGUUGAGAUAUUCCCCAGUUGUACCAGACAUUCAGGUCAAUCUACUGGAUCAGAAUAAACCUACUUUCAGCACCACAUUGUACUUGAAGGGAAUACCAAAGACUCAUGAAGAUCAAAUUCACUUAUGCCGAUAUUCACAAUUCAAUCCAUUGGUUUUAAUGCUGAAAGAUGGCUCUGAGAUACAGGUAAGAAAGCCAAAACCACCUUUGAUUGAAGGGGUCGAGCUGAAGAAAUGUGGAAUUCAUUUGGUUUAUGAAAAUGACGAUGAUUAUGGUGGAAAUGAAGAAUCCUUGGAUGAAAGUCAGCAAUCUGUAUCACAAAAACUGGCCAAUUUUUUCAAUUCGUACGAAGAAGAUGGCCAAGUUUGUUGAAGUUGAAAAGCAAAAUGAAGAUAUUGAUGGGAAUGAAUGGUAUAGCAGUUCAUCAACAUCUCGAAGAUCCUUUCGAGGAUGGGAAUGGGAUUUUGCCUCAAAGGAAAGGUGUUACGUAUGGCUUGGAGGAUGCUAGACAGGUCUUGGUUACUUACUGAGAGGCCACUUGUAAAGCCAAAAGAGCUUCUCUGCUUCUCGGCAUAGAAUGUUGAUUUCCUCAGGAAUUAGAUUAUGGAUUAUAUGUGUUUAUUGUCCAUGCCGAGUUCUUAUUUAAUUUCAUUUAUGUUUUAUAUGGUGGACGGGAAAAUAAUUUAGUUUUUAAAAUAUUU